CGAAACGUAUACAACAGGACCAGCAGCUGUCAAAUAAGUGAGGUUAGACUCGUCAUAUGCAGCGCUCUAUUAAAAAAAUAGGAUCUCGCUGAUCUGAUCAUCCGAUCAAUCUAAUUGAUAUUUUCAUUCAGAAAUUCACAAAGCAUCUUAUGGAGAACAACCCUACCAAAGAUCUCUUCAGGAAAAAACGUCAAAAAUUAAUAAUGACGUGAAUUGCAAAUUGUCAGGCACUCGUGCAUCUCUUGGACAUAUUUUCUUGUUUGGCCCAUAUAGGUUUUCCCGAUUUCCCGGAUGGAUGGACACCCUGAAUUUGAUUAGAGCAAUAGGUUUUCCUCCAAAAUUAUCGUUCAGAAUUUCUCUAAGGAUACCUUUGGCAAAUUAUUCCAGAGAUUAUUUCAUAAAAUAAAAGAAUGUACCAGCGAUGUAUCCAGUGAAAAACCAAAAUAUUUUUUCAAAAAAUAUUGUUCAAAAUUUUGAAUACAUCCUAAAGGUAAUUGUAACGACAGAUCUAAGAUAAACUUUGGUGAAACAUGUGUAAGUUCUAAAGUAAUCCUCGACAAACUUCUACAAGAACCUCUGAAAAAAAUUCUGGAUUUUUAAGAUUUUU